GUUUGUAAACAUCCCCUCAGACGGAAACCCAAAUGGUGAAACUGGCUGCUUGCAGAGGUCUUUCCUCAGGGACACGCCCAGAGUCCUGGAGGGCGUUCCUGCUGUCCCUUUGUUCUCUCUCUCUCUAAUGUUUCUACCUUUGUGUGUGUGCAUCACAAAGGUGAGAAGCAGUCAAACUUGGGAAGAAGAAAUGGCUGAAAUGCUACCAUUUACAGCUCAAGCCAUGCUUCCUCGCUGACGUUGGCCGAUGCGUGGUCAGAGUUGGUGCCACCUGCUCGAUUUCACAUGUUGUGGCCAAUGACAUCACCACAAAAUGACCCAAGUGUCGGGAAGCUUAAGGGUGUCCAGGCAUCCACCAGCGGGAAGGGUCGGUGAAGACUGGACAGCCACAUCCACUUCUGAGCAGUGACCCUGUGGCCUUCAGCGGCUGGGCGGGGAGUAGGGAGGAUGGUCCGCCAGCCACGAGCCCCACUGCAGCUUAUCCGGGUCAAGAACACACCACACAAGCACUGCAGGGCCAUGGCUGUUGGAACUACCCCUUGAGUCUGGGCAGAAACUGAGAGCAAGCAUGUAGAUACUUUGCUGUCCCUUGAUGCGGCCAGGGCAUUUUUGCCUGUAUUUUAUGAAAAUAUCAGUCCACAGUGGAUUGGACAUUUUAAAAAGCUGGUUCUUCAUCACAGAAAGUUUGAGAAGCACAUGUCUGAAAAUAUUGUAAGAAACACCAAUAUCAAAUCCAGUAAUAAUCAUAUUCGCUGCCCUCGCUCUGCUUGUCCUCCCACAGGACAGCUCUCUUGGAUGAGCGUCACAGCAAAAGGCUUGUCCAGAUCAUCUCUCACUGAUCCGGCCUCUAGGAGACUUAGCCCUGUAGGCACUGAUUCAAAUUACACAAUGCCUUUCUCUUAGUUUUUGCCAUCAUUAUUUAUAAAGACACACUGGAAACUUGGAUUACAAAAAUGUUACUAUUUCAGGGACUCAGAAGACGACAAGUCAAUGGCUAUUGUACCCCGCAGUGCACCAGGCUGUGCUGUGCUUCCUGGAGGUGUGAGCCCAGGAUCGUCCCUUCCAGGAGGUAGAUCCUCACAGCUCUCACCGCUUCCCCAAACUUUAUGGCAAAACAGCUGUGACAAGCCGUCAGCGGGGCCUACCAUAUCUGACAGUUUGGAGUAACUUGGCCAUUGGCUUGAAUCAAUCGUCAAAUUGGCUGUUGGCAAAUGGAUGAAACAACCCAGAGCUUGUGCGUGGCACUGACUGUCCAGAGCCAGGAACCCGCCUGAGGCAGACUCUGUCCCGGCAACAUCAGCUCCAGUUGCUGCCUGCUACCACAGAGCCCUCUCACCCACGUCACCGGCUGUUUUUGUUUGUUUGUUUGUUUUUUGAGAUGGAGUUUCACUCUUGUUGCCCAGGCUGGAGUGCAGUGGUGUGGUCUCGGCUCACUGCAACCUCCACCUCCCGGGUUCAAGCGAUCCUCCUGCCUGAGCCUCCUGAGGAGCUGGGAUUACAGGCACCCACCAUCACGCCCAGUGAAUUUUUGUAUUUUUAGUACAGAAAGCGUUUCACCAUGUUGGCCAGGCUGGUCUCAAACUCCUGACCUCAGGCAAUCCACUUGCCUCGGCCUCCCAAAGUGAUUACAGGCGUGAGCUACUGCACCCGGCCUGACGUCGGCAACUUUCAAGGCCCUGCCCUCCUCCGUGCGAGGGCCCUCGAGUCAUCCCCUCCUUUGGGAGUCGGUGACAAAUACCUGCUCCAAACCCACUAAGGUAAGACACACUCACCUCAGAAGUCACUUCUCAAAGGGAAAUGGACAAAGAACUGCAGAGGACUCACAGUUGCUGCUGUGAGCCCGUGUGCAAGGUGCCAGGCGUCUUCUGCGGUGGUGGAUGUGUCCUGUCUCUGAGCUGUGUGCUCCGGCAGCCACAAGCCACAUUGGCUAUAAAACCCUCAAGAUGUGAUUGAGGGGCUGAGGAACAGGACUUCUCAUUGAAUUUCACUUUAAUGAAUUUGGGUCUCAUCUGAAUAGUCACCUGCAGCCAGCGGGACCGUGUGGGACAAAGCCAGCCCUGGAGGACCCAGGGGAGCCUCAUACUUGGGGUGCCAGAAACAGCACGAGAAGGUCAGAGCCAAGACGUCUUUGAAUAUGGGGCUAAAAAAUGUGAACACCUGGUAAAGCUCUGAAAAUGAAGUCGAUAUAUGACUGGAGAAUGUCAGUAGCGCCAGUGCCCUGUCCAUACGGUACAACAGCAUCAAUAACCGGCCAGGAGUAGCCCCGUGCCGGGAAAACAGGCCCUGAGAGGCGAGUGAUACAUGCAAGUGAACAUUUGACCCAAACAGACAAUGUUCCAGUUGGCCAGUACUUAAAACCUUGAGCACAGGACAGUGCUAGGGAAGCACUGACUGGACGUACCUUCUCAAAGUCCACAUUUGAAAACCUGAACGCAGACCUGAAGCCACAGCAUUACGAGGGGCGUGCAGGGAGGCCCUCUUCACGGACGUCACAGAGAACAGACUGAGUGAAUGCUGUUCACACCUUCCCUGGCCGCUCCAUUCUAGAAGGAAUUAAUUUUUCCCAAAUAAAAUGACUUUAUCCAUAAACUCUCAUCACCAUUCCCCGAUGCCGGAGUGAGGUCCCACAGCACAGAGGUUAAGAGCGACGCUGCGGCAGCCACCCUGGGCUCAGGAGGGGCCACCAGGUACCAGCGUCGCUCCAGGGCUGUCUCUGAGAUAAGCGUGAGGUCCAGCUGGGCACCUGUGACUUCAGCCCUUUCACAAUGAUAAGCAUCUCAUUCCAUGCACUGACAUUCUUCCUUAAAAUAACUUGAGUGAUUUUGGUUUCCUGCCUUCAACUAUGACAGACUUGGUAAAGUGGAAUCCCACGGAGCCAUGAAUAAUAAAAUCAGAUCUGCUGAUGAACCCAUUUGAGUUUUCACUCAGACUAUGACAGAGCCUAGAAAAGCUAAGGCAGUGAUUUUUGUUUGAAUGCUGAUCUUAUAGAGAAGAUUUAUUUCUAACAUAAUUUAUUCUUAUUGAGGUUCAUUUAGGUACCGUGCAAUCCACCUGUUGUGACAAUUCAAUGAUUUUUUAGUCAAUUUCUAGCGUUGUGCAACUGUCACCACAGUUUUAUUUUCAUGUUUCAAGCAUUUCUAUCACCCCAAACCAAAAAGUUCCCUUGUGCCCAUUUGCAGUGAAUCCCUGCUCCCAUACCAGCCCUACCAGGCACCUGCAGAAAUGCCUUCUGUCUCCAUAGAUUUGCCUUUCCUGAGCACUUCAAAUCAGUGGAAUCUCAUAAUGUGAAGUCUUUUGCAUCUGAUUCUUUCAUUAAGCAUGAUGUUCUUCACACACAUCCGUGUUGUAGCAUGUGUCUGUACUUUGUUCGUUUUGAGUUGAUGAGUAAUGUUCUACUGCAUAGACAGACCACCGUUUGCUUAUCCACUCACCAGCCAGUGGGCAUUUGAGUCUGCUGUCUGUUGUGAAUCAUGCCGUUGUGAGCAUUCUCGUACAAGUCCUUGGGUGGGUAUGUUUCAUUUCUCUUGGGUAUGUACCCAGGCAUGGGGUGCUGGCUAAUAAGGUAACUAUGUUUAGCAUUUUGAAGAAAAACGGCCAAACUAUUUUCCAAAGUGGCCGCACCAUUUCAAAUUUCCACCAGCAGUGAACGAGGGUUCUGAUUGCUUCAUGUCCUCACCAAUACUUGUGAUUGUCUCUUUAACGACAGCCAUUUCAGUGGGGGUGAGGUGGUGUCUCUGAUUUGCAUUAACCCUAAGACUAAUGAUAUUGGGCAUCUUUUUGGCUUAUUAGCCAUUUGUACAGCUUUGGUGAAAUAGCUGUUUAUAUCUUUUAUCCAUUUUUAAUUAGGCUGUUGAUCUUGUUAUUGAAUGAUGAAAGUUCUUUAUAUGUCCUGGAUUCAAAUAUUUCACCAGAUAUAUAAUUUGUAAAACAUUUUCUCCUGUCUGAAGCUUGUCUUUCAUUAUCUUAAUCAUGUCUUAUGAUGUAUAUAUAAAAGCUUUCAAUCUCGAUGAAGUCCAAUUUAUCAUUUUUAUGGAUUAUGUUUUUAGUAUCAAAUCUAAGAACUUGUUUCCUAACCCAAGGUCCCAAAGAUUGUCCCCUAUGUUUUUUUUUCUCAGAGUUUUAUAGUUUUAAGUUAGGUCUAUGAGUCACUUUGAGUGAAUUUUUGUGUAUUACAUGCAGUAAAGGUCUAAUUCGUCUUUUUGCCUGGGUAUCUAACUGCUCCAGCACCAUUUGUUGAAAGGACCAUCUUUUCUUUAUUGACCGUCUUGGCAGCUUUGUUGAAAAUCAGGUGACCAUAGACGUGCUUAUUUCUGAACUCUCGAUCGUCUCCCAUUGAUCUGUGUGCGAUGAUUACCAUAGCUUUACAGAAAGUUUUAAAAUCUGGUGGUGGAAGUGCUCUCAUUUUGUUCUUUUUCAAAAUUGUUUUGGCUAUUCGGAUUUCUUUGCAUUUCUAAGCAAAUUUUAUGGUCAGUUUGCCUACUUCUACCACAAAAAUCCUGCUGGGUUUUAGCAAGAUUUCAUUGACUCUAUACAUCAAUUUUGGAAGAAUUACAAUCUUGACAACAUUGAGUCUUUCAAUCCAUAAACACAGAAUGUCCCCGCCAGGUUAUCUAGAUCUUUAAUUUCUCUCAGCAAAGUUUUCUAGCUUUUAAUUUAAAAGUCUUGCACUUCCUUUGUUGGUUUCAUUCCUAAGUAGUUUUAUUCUUUAUUAAUACUAUUGCAAAUGGAAGUGUUUCUUAGUUCCAUUUUUUGAUCAUUCAC
rnacentral:lncRNA from 10 species